rnacentral:rRNA from 1 species
AGUUUGAUCAUGGCUCAGGAUAAACGCUGGCGGCGCACAUAAGACAUGCAAGUCGAACGGACUUAACCAUUAGUUUACUAUUGGAGCGGUUAGUGGCGGACUGGUGAGUAACACGUAAGCAACCUGCCUGUUAGAGGGGAACAACAGUUAGAAAUGACUGCUAAUACCGCAUAUGCCUUGAGUAUCGCAUGGUACAAGAGGGAAAGGAGCAAUCCGCUAACAGAUGGGCUUGCGUCUGAUUAGAUAGUUGGUGGGGUAACGGCCUACCAAGUCGACGAUCAGUAGCCGG